GUGCCAGCCGCCGCGGUAAUACCGGCAGCCCGAGUGAUGGCCGAUCUUAUUGGGCCUAAAGCGUCCGUAGCUGGCCGCGCAGGUCCGUCGGGAAAUCCACGCGCUCAACGCGUGGGCGUCCGGCGGAAACCACUCGGCUUGGGGCCGGAGGACUCGAGGGGUACGUCUGGGGUAGGAGUGAGAUCCCGUAAUCCUGGACGGACCGCCGAUGGCGAAAGCACCUCGAGAGGACGGACCCGACAGUGAGGGACGAAAGCUGGGAUCUCGAACCGGAUUAGAAACCCCAGUAGUCC
rnacentral:rRNA from 1 species